rnacentral:rRNA from 1 species
GUGGGGAAUAUUGGGCAAUGGGCGCAAGCCUGACCCAGCAACGCCGCGUGAGGGAAGAAGGCUUUCGGGUUGUAAACCUCUGUCCUUGGUGACGAAAAAAAUGACGGUAGCCAAGGAGGAAGCCCCGGCUAACUACGUGCCAGCAGCCGCGGUAAUACGUAGGGGGCGAGCGUUGUCCGGAAUUACUGGGCGUAAAGGGUGCGUAGGUGGCCUUUUAAGUUGGAUGUGAAAUCCCCGGGCUUAACUUGGGUGGUGCAUCUAAUACUGGAGGGCUAGAGUGCAGGAGAGGGAAGCGGAAUUCCUAGUGUAGCGGUGAAAUGCGUAGAUAUUAGGAAGAACACCAGUGGCGAAGGCGACUUUCUGGACGAAAACUGACGCUGAGGCGCGAAAGCCAGGGGAGCGAACGGGAUUAGAAACCCCUGUAGUCC